rnacentral:rRNA from 1 species
AGUGAACGCUGGCGGUAGGCCUAACACAUGCAAGUCGAACGGCAGCACAGUAAGAGCUUGCUCUUACGGGUGGCGAGUGGCGGACGGGUGAGGUAUACAUCGGAAUCUACUUUUUCGUGGGGGUUAACGUAGGGAAACUUACGCUCAUACCGCAUACGACCUACGGGUGAAAGCAGGGGAUCUUCGGACCUUGCGCGAUUGAAUGAGCCGAUGUCGGAUUAGAUAGUUGGCGGGGUAAAGUCCCACCAAGGCGACGAUCCGUAGCUGGUCUGAGAGGAUGAUCAGCCACACUGGAACGGAGACACGGACCAGACUCCUACGGGAGGCAGCAGUGGGGAAUAUUGGACAAUGGGCGCAAGCCUGAUCCAGCCAUACCGCGUGGGUGAAGAAGGCCUUCGGGUUGGAAAGCCCGUUUGUUGGGAAAGAAAAGCAGCAGGUUAAGACCCCGCUGUUCUGACGGUACCCAAAGAAGAAGCACCGGCUAACUACGUG